GAUGAAGAACGUAGCGAAAUGCGAUAACUAAUGUGAAUUGCAGAAUUCAGUGAAUCAUCGAGUCUUUGAACGCACAUUGCGCCCCCUGGUAUUCCGGGGGGCAUGCCUGUCCGAGCGUCAUUGCUGCCCUCAAGCCCGGCUUGUGUGUUGGGUCGCCGUCCCCCUCUCCGGGGGGACGGGCCCGAAAGGCAGCGGCGGCACCGCGUCCGAUCCUCGAGCGUAUGGGGCUUUGUCACAUGCUCUGUAGGAUUGGCCGGCGCCUGCCGACGUUUUCCAACCAUUCUUUCCAGGUUGACCUCGGAUCAGGUAGGGAUACCCGCUGAACUUAAGCAUAUCAAUAAGGGAGGA
rnacentral:misc_RNA from 1 species